rnacentral:rRNA from 1 species
UGACAAGAAAUAACAAUACAAGGCAGUUAAAAUGCUUUGUAAUUGGAAUGAUAGAAAUUUAAACACUUUUUAAAGUAUCAAUUGGAGGGCAAGUCUGGUGCCAGCAGCCGCGGUAAUUCCAGCUCCAAUAGCGUAUAUUAAAAUUGUUGCAGUUAAAAAGCUCGUAGUUGAAUUUCUGUUAAAAAUAACCGGUCUGCUUUUAAUAAAAGUGGUAUCUUGGUGUGUUUUUAGCAAUAAUGUCCUUUGAAAUGUUUUUUACUUUAUUGUAAUAAAUAAUAUUCAGGAUUUUUACUUUGAGAAAAUUAGAGUGUUUCUAGCAGGCUAACGCUUUGAAUACUGCAGCAUGGAAUAAUAAAAUAGGAUUUUAGUUCUACAUUAUUGGUUUUAAGAACUAAAUUAAUGAUUGAUAGGGACAGUUGGGGGCAUUUGUAUUUAACUGUCAGAGGUGAAAUUCUUAGAUUUGUUAAAGACAAACUACUGCGAAAGCAUUUGCCAAAGAUGUUUUCAUUAAUCAAGAACGAAAGUUAGGGGAUCGAAGACGAUCAGAUACCGUC